GCCACGUGAUGAGUCAAAGGCGAGUGUGACCUCUUGGCGACCAAUGCCGGCCUUCGAUCUGGGUGGGGAAGGGUCCGUAAUCUUGGCGGGCGUGCAGGAGACCACCGCUCCCGCUGUAAGGCCGGACCUACAGUGAGGGUGGGGUGCCCUCGUGCCUGGCGACACAAAGGAAGAGGGGUGGGGGUCGCCCAGGAAAGGGGCACCUCCUCAUACGCCAGGCACGAACAUUCGGGGGGGGGGGGGGGGGGGGGUCAGAGAUCGAAGGUCGGACAAGCCAGAGAGAAUGAUCGCAAAUCUUUGGUAAUCUGAUGGCG